GUUAACGGUUAAAUCUGAUUCAAAUCUGAUUUAUCUUAUCAAAUCCUGUUUAGCGACUCACAUCUUCAGUUAAAUAAACAGUAUCCAUGAUAUCCAUGCACAUCUCGCUUUUUCAUCGCCAGUCAUUUUGACAGAAUGUCAGAUUUGACUCGAGCUCGACAGGCUGUUCUCGGUUCUCUGUGACAACAUUAUCCCUGCCUGUGGCUUUGUGCUGUGACCGUAUAUAUGCAAGAAUCGAAUUUAUUUUUCGCUGCAAGGUGAUGAGUGCAUUGUCUCGGCGGAGUUUUAAAUUUACUUUAACAAGAAGGACGUGUUCCUGUUUUGUUAUAAUUCUGUAGACGGUUCUGAUUCCUGACGAUUGUCCUCAGCGUGAUGUACGUGGAUACACCGCACAUUAUUGACUAUGACGGGGCAAAAGUAAUAUUCAUAAUAGCUUUGAAAAUGCUGAGAUGGAGAAAUUGUGAAGAUGAACUUACUUACUUAUUGUCGGCGUAGCACCAACUUAGAAUUCGGAAGUCGGGACUUCCGAACCGAACUUUCUUCCGAAGUUUUAUAUGUCAAACUAAUUGAUGCGUUGUUUAGCGCAUCUUUAGGCGAAUCUAGCGCACUAUUUCCGAAGUUGGGAAAGUUGCCUAUAUCUGGAGAAAAAUCCAACUUCGGUAUAAAAAUCGGUCUAACUUUUAUCCGGAUAGACAAUACAACGAAUUCAGUUGAGGAUAAUGCAACAACUGUUGAGGCCGAAAUUGAGGCAUCAUUUGUUGACAUCAUUUAUGAGACAAAGCAAUUAACUUCGCAGAAAAUAGAAAAGUUGAGCAAUAUCUGGAAAACAAUUUCGCGAAAAAGCACGAAGACGACUGACACUCAGAACGAGAAGCUGAAUCACAUAUUCAUCAGACAAUCGGUUCGCCAAGUUCGACACACUUCGACGUUGUGGUCUUCGUUUUUAAGCAAAUCGUAGGUGAUAACCGAGUCGAAUAGUUCCUUCUGGAAACAAAGGAUGUCUUCAAACUAUUAUUCACAGUACACGAAUAGAAAACUAAUCCCUGUACUCGCCAAGUAUCGCUCCACCGCCAAAACCAAAAAACAAAUGUAAUACUGCUGAUGUCGAAGUUGAAGUACGCCUAGCAGUGGGAUGAUCUAUACCUACGAUUUUAUUCUAUUAAUGUCCGUAUGGUGGUGCGUCAGAAUCUGGAGUAGCUUACGAGAGCGAAGCUUUUGCUAAACAAGCAGUGCCAACAAGAUUCUCUACAGUGUACAACGGUGCCGCCGUCGUCGAGAGAUUAAGAGGGAGACAAAACAAAAUCGAACUACCAAAACGUUCCGGAUUCCUGGCCACUUCGCGGCAAAAGAAGAAAAGUACAAAUUACACGCGAGCCGGAAUGUAAUAUACUGUCUUUUCCUUAUGUAAUAAAAUAAGCAAAGGCCCUUGUAUCGUAUAUUGGUUUUGUCUUUCUCGUAUACUAAGUAUACGUAA